rnacentral:piRNA from 1 species
GGCCAGACAAUGGGAGCAGACAGCCCAGAGC